UAUUACUAGGCGGAGGAAAAGAAACUAACAAAGAUUGACAUAGUAAGGGCGACUGAAAUGUCACCAGCUCAGCAUGUGAAUCAACGUUCACUUUUGUAAACGUUGAAUUGUGAUCUUACGGUUCUUGCACCAAUUGGACCAUGCCAUGUUGUUUGGAAUAAUAUAGCACAGAGGGUGAAACUCCUGUUUGCCUGGCCCAUUCGAGCAAAUACCAAUGAGUCGAGUUGUUUGGGAUUGCAGCUCAAAUACGGUGGUAAAUUUCAUCUACAGCUAAAUAUUGGUCGGAGACCGAUAGCGUACAAGUACCGUGAGGGAAAGAUGCAAAGAACUUUGAAAAGAGAGUGAAAAAGUACCUGAAAUUGCUGAAAAGGAAGCGAACAAAUCUAGUGUCAGCCAAGUCAUACUUUCCAUCUUGCUUGCAACUUGGACGCUGUGCCUAGCCAUGUUCAAUUGCAUCGCAACAGGUCAAAACAGGUACUGAAAAGAUUCCAUUUUCAUGGACCAAGCACACCUACUGCAAUCCAACUGAACCAAAUAGAUUUGUUUGCCCCGUCUAGAAACACGGACCAAGGAGUCUAACAUAUGUGCGAGUACGAGGGCAGCAUGCCUUGGUGCUAAAUGAAAGUGUCAGAGGCUGGAAUGAAGUACUUGUUGUACCCAUUGCACAGUCCGCCGGCCUCAAUCCUACGGGAAAAUGGUCUGAGUGUGAGCAUACAUGUUGGGACCCGAAAGAUGGUGAACUAUGCUUGAGUAGGGUGAAGCCAGGGGAAACUUUGGUGAAGGCUCGCAGCGAUUCUGACGUGCAAAUCGAUCGUCAAACUUGAGUAUAGGGGCGAAAGACUAAUCGAACUAUCUAGUAGCUGGUUCCCUCCGAAAUUUCCCUUAGGAUAGCUGCAAUCUUAUCACAGCCAGUUUUGUCA
rnacentral:rRNA from 1 species